rnacentral:rRNA from 1 species
UACGGAGGGGGCUAGCGUUGUUCGGAAUUACUGGGCGUAAAGCGCACGUAGGCGGCUUUGUAAGUUAGAGGUGAAAGCCCGGGGCUCAACUCCGGAAUUGCCUUUAAGACUGCAUCGCUAGAAUUGUGGAGAGGUAAGUGGAAUUCCGAGUGUAGAGGUGAAAUUCGUAGAUAUUCGCAAGAACACCAGUGGCGAAGGCGGCUCACUGGCCCGGUACUGACGCUGAGGUGCGAAAGCGUGGGGAGCAAACAGGG